rnacentral:rRNA from 1 species
GGGGAAUAUUGGACAAUGGGCGCAAGCCUGAUCCAGCCAUACCGCGUGGGUGAAGAAGGCCUUCGGGUUGUAAAGCCCUUUUGUUGGGAAAGAAAUCCUAUCGGUUAAUAACCGGUGGGGAUGACGGUACCCAAAGAAUAAGCACCGGCUAACUUCGUGCCAGCAGCCGCGGUAAUACGAAGGGUGCAAGCGUUACUCGGAAUUACUGGGCGUAAAGCGUGCGUAGGUGGUGGUUUAAGUCUGCUGUGAAAGCCCUGGGCUCAACCUGGGAAUUGCAGUGGAUACUGGAUCACUAGAGUGUGGUAGAGGGAUGCGGAAUUUCUGGUGUAGCAGUGAAAUGCGUAGAGAUCAGAAGGAACAUCCGUGGCGAAGGCGGCAUCCUGGGCCAACACUGACACUGAGGCACGAAAGCGUGGGGAGCAAACAGGAUUAGAUACCCUGGUAGUCCACGCCCUAAACGAUGCGAACUGGAUGUUGGGUGCAACUUGGCACCCAGUAUCGAAGCUAACGCGUUAAGUUCGCCGCCUGGGGAGUACGGUCGCAAGACUG